GAUGAACGCUAGCGGCAGGCCUAAUACAUGCAAGUCGGACGGGAUAGGAGAGCUUGCUUUCCUUGAGAGUGGCGCACGGGUGCGUAACACGUAUGUAACCUACCUUCGUCAGGGGGAUAGCCUCUCGAAAGAGAGAUUAAGACCGCAUAACAUCAUUUAACAGCAUUGUUGAAUGAUCAAAUAUUUAUAGGACGAAGAUGGGCAUGCGGAACAUAGCUAGUUGGUAAGGUAACGGCUUACCAAGGCUACGAUGUUUAGGGGAUCUGAGAGGAUCGACCCCC
rnacentral:rRNA from 1 species